UAUGAAUUCACCGUUCACAUCAAUGGUGAAGUAAUGCAAGCAUUGACCCAUCCUACAAAUCUAGGUGGGAAAUUUAGGAGAGUGACGGUCUGAAUGAUGAAUUCCCAAUUGAUUGAAUCGAAAGUUUUCUGCAAGGCAAUCUUAAUAGCACAUCUUGGGGUACCCGAGUCCAAAUGAUAACAAUGAAAGAGUUCUUGGGCUAAAAGGAUAUUGUCACUGAUGUUUCUGUUUGGUAUGAAUUCUUUCAGUUUCAGUGUUAAUCAUUAUUGAUUCUAAUUCAGCAGACCCUAGAAACUGAUGGGACUUUCUUUUAUUUUAUCUAUCGAAUCCGCUAUAAAGAUGUAUAUCAUCACACUAGGGUUUCAAGGUUUCUUGUUGGUGUGAUUUAAUAGUAUACAAUGAAUUCAAGACUGAGGUUGUAGGUUUCUGUAUAUGAAGUUUUAGUAAUCUGGAAUUAAUGGGUUUCAUUCAGUUCAAUUUCUUUAGUGAUGAAGAUAGGGUUUGUUAAUGUAUAACGGAAGAAUGUUCAUUCAUUUUGGAAUUUGGAUUAAGUGAUCUUGUUUACUUCUGGGGAUAGAGUUGAGAAUUGAGUUUGUGUUUUUCAAUUUA